UACGUAGGGUGCUAGCGUUGUUCGGAAUCAUUGGGCGUAAAGCGCGUGCAGGCUGUUAGUUAAGUCGGGUGUGAAAUCCCUGGGCUCAACCGAGGAAGUGCAUCCGAAACUAACUAGCUAGAGAAUGGUAGAGGAAGGUGGAAUUCCAAGUGUAGAGGUGAAAUUCGUAGAUAUUUGGAGGAAUACCGGAGGCGAAGGCGGCCUUCUGGACCAUUUCUGACGCUGAGACGCGAAAGCGUGGGGAGCAAACAGG
rnacentral:rRNA from 1 species